AUAUAAUCAGCACGACAACGAGGGUCUUGUUCCGGCCAAUACUUUCACCAAGCAAAAGAAUAAAAUGGUUAAUUUACAGAGAAAUAAGUUUAAGUUACAAGCUCUUUAUCAAGAUUCUGAAAAAGUGUCUAAGCAAAAGUAGACCAAAUCGAAGCCUGAACUACAUCUAUCGCUCGUCUUCAUGAUAGCAGACUUGUAUACUCUUGGCGAGGUUAACCAAAAUAUAUGUAUCACCUCCAAAAGAUUUGUUGAAAAAUGCACAUUGUUCUAGUCAACAUUCCUUCUACAAGUAAUCUUCACGAUAGCAGACUUGUAUACUCUUGGCGAGGUUAACCAAAAUAUAUGUAUCACCUCCAAAAGAUUUGUUGAAAAAUGCACACUGUUCUAGUCGAACAUUCCUUCUACAAGUAACCAUCUGCUCAUAAAAAUAGAAAUUUGUAAACUUUUCAUUUGUUUCAAAGCAAUUUCAAGCUAACCUCCCAAGAAUAGCAACAAAAUAUUGUAAGAGAGGGAGGGGAGGCAACAAAAAGGAAAGGAUUCUCUUCUUUUCUUAAACUUCUAUUUAGGAGUCGGAGUGCACCAACAAAACUUCUAACCCUAUCCAUUGCUAAUUUCAUAAAUAAAGCUCAACAAUUGUAAACCAUUCCUUCAAAACAUGGCCACCCAAACCCAAGGAGAAACAAGAUCUCGAUAUAGCGGGACAAGUUAGGUCAACAGAAUAGGUUAUCAAAAAAAAGAAAAAGAAAAAGUUAGCUAAACAGAGUAGUAUUUGUUGUAAAUUUACAACAUAGAAUAUGGAGAAAAUCAACUAUAAAUUGAAGCUAUUCAUCACAGUGCCAGACAAGUCAUGUGGGGGAAAAGAACUAAAGAAUGACGACUUGAACACAGUACAAGAACAUUCAGUGGAAAUUCUAAGAUUAUUAUGGGACGUAAUAGCAAAUUAAUUUGUUAAAGUAAGAUGCUUUAUCCUUA
rnacentral:lncRNA from 1 species